rnacentral:rRNA from 1 species
UGGGGAAUUUUGGACAAUGGGGGCAACCCUGAUCCAGCCAUGCCGCGUGCGGGAAGAAGGCCUUCGGGUUGUAAACCGCUUUUGUCAGGGAAGAAAUCCCUUGGGCUAAUACCUCGGAGGGAUGACGGUACCUGAAGAAUAAGCACCGGCUAACUACGUGCCAGCAGCCGCGGUAAUACGUAGGGUGCAAGCGUUAAUCGGAAUUACUGGGCGUAAAGCGUGCGCAGGCGGUUAUGUAAGACAGAGGUGAAAUCCCCGGGCUCAACCUGGGAACUGCCUUUGUGACUGCAUGGCUAGAGUGCGGCAGAGGGGGAUGGAAUUCCGCGUGUAGCAGUGAAAUGCGUAGAUAUGCGGAGGAACACCGAUGGCGAAGGCAGCUCACUAAGCAGCGAUUGACGCUGAGGCACGAAAGCGUGGGGAUCAAGCA